CUCUAGAAGAAUCCUUACUGCACAGGUGCAAUUCAUAAGAAACAUCAUAAGACGCUUCUGCUUGAAGAAGGCUUCAGUCCUGUGAGGCUCUGCUUUUCCUGGAAUCCAGAACCAACUUGUGGCACUGUGUGACUGUGGCUGGAUAGGGGUUAAAGAAGGUUACUCAGACGUGCCUGACUGGAGAAGGAGUCAUGUCAGAGACACUCUGAGUGGAUCAAAUAAAAUCACAGGAUAUACCACUUCAAUAAGAGAUUUGAAAUGCCAAAUGCAAACAACUCCCCAU